GAUGAAGAACGCAGCGAAAUGCGAUAACUAAUGUGAAUUGCAGAAUUCCGUGAAUCAUCGAGUCUUUGAACGCACAUUGCGCCCCCUGGUAUUCCGGGGGGCAUGCCUGUCCGAGCGUCAUUGCUGCCCAUCAAGCACGGCUUGUGUGUUGGGUCCUCGUCCCCCCCGGGGGACGUGCCCGAAAGGCAGCGGCGGCACCGCGUCCGGUCCUCGAGCGUAUGGGGCUUUAUCACCCGCUCUGCAGGCCCGGCCGGCGCUGGCCGACGCGAAAGCAACCAUUUUUUCUCCAGGUUGACCUCGGAUCAGGUAGGGAUACCCGCUGAACUUAAGCAUAUCAAUAAGCGGAGGA
rnacentral:misc_RNA from 1 species